rnacentral:rRNA from 1 species
CAGCCGCCGCGGUAAUACCGGCGGCCCGAGUGGCGGUCACUAUUAUUGGGCUUAAAACGUCCGUAGCCGGGUUGGGAAGUCCUCCGGGAAAUCUGGCCGCUUAACGGUCAGAAUGCCGGAGGAUACUCCCAGCCUAGGGAGCGGGAGAGGCCGAGGGUAUUCCCGGAGUAGGGGUGAAAUCCUAUAAUCCCGGGAGGACCACCUGUGGCGCAGGCGCUCGGCUGGAACGCGUCCGACGGUGAGGGACGAAGGCCAGGGGAGCAAACCGGAUUAGAUACCCGGGUAGUCCUGGCUGUAAACGAUGCGGACUUUGUGUCGGACAAGCUAUGAGCUUGUCCGGUGCCGGAGGGAAACCGUUAAGUCCGCCGCCUGGGGAGUACGGCCGCAAGGCUGAAACUUAAAGGAAUUGGCGGG